GACGAACGCUGGCGGCGUGCUUAACACAUGCAAGUCGAACGGAAAGGCCCCUUUGGGGGUACUCGAGUGGCGAACGGGUGAGUAACACGUGAGUAACCUGCCCUUGACUUCGGGAUAACUUCAGGAAACUGGGGCUAAUACCGGAUAGGAAUCCUUGCUGCAUGGUGGGGGUUGGAAAGCUUCGGCGGUUUUGGAUGGACUCGCGGCUUAUCAGCUUGUUGGUGGGGUAGUGGCUUACCAAGGCUUUGACGGGUAGCCGGCCUGAGAGGGCGACCGGCCACAUUGGGACUGAGAUACGGCCCAGACUCCUACGGGAGGCAGCAGUGGGGAAUAUUGCACAAUGGGCGGAAGCCUGAUGCAGCAACGCCGCGUGCGGGAUGACGGCCUCCGGGUUGUAAACCGCUUUCAGCAGGGGCGAAGCUUGUGGUGACGGUACCUGCAGAAGAAGCACCGGCUAACUACGU
rnacentral:rRNA from 1 species